UAGUUUUCUCCUAAGUCAAACUUCUCUAACUUUGACCAAGUUUAUAGAAAAAUGCACUAACAUUCAUAAUACCAAAUAAACACUAUCAAGGCAUAUUUUGUGGUGGAUGUACUGAAACUAAUAUGGUGUUGUAGAUGUUAGUGCGUUUUUCUAUAAACUUGGUCAAAGUUAGAGAAGUUUGACUUAGGACAAAACUAA
rfam:Oryza punctata chromosome 8, whole genome shotgun sequence.